CCUCCAACAUCUUCGGCUUUGAAUGCGGAGCUACCACCGUUGUUGGUAUCAAAAUCAGCUAGCGCCAAGGAAACUGCGCCGAUCUUGAUACCACCAAUGGUGGCGGCGCCGCCGCCAUUGGCCACCUCCGAAUUUGCAUCAUAACGCCAUCCUCCCAAUUUGAGGGAUUUUUUAAAGAUACGUGGCUUGGCUUAAGUUUGGAAUCAAGUGAGCAGUUAUAAUGUAUUGAAGUGGCUAAUUAUAUUUGGAGGUAUGGCCGUUUUCGCUUCGGAUCUCGGUUUCAUAAUGGAUUUGUUUUUCUUUUAAACAAGUAGCUUGGUCUCUCUUGAAGAAAUUACCCCAUAUAGUCUUUGUAUUCUCUGCUUGUAUUGCAUAAAAUAUUUGGAAGAGCUAGGAGAAAUUAAUUUUACUUUGAGCAAGAAACUCUUUCUUUAGCACAUAAAAAUUGGAUGUGAUUGUUUGAUAAGUACUUUUGAAGAGGAUUAGAACCUCCUGUAACAAACACUUUUACUUUGAGCAAGAAACUCUUUCUUCAGCA